UGGUUCUGGCAUCGAUGAAGAACGCAGCGAAAUGCGAUAAGUAAUGUGAAUUGCAGAAUUCAGUGAAUCAUCGAAUCUUUGAACGCACAUUGCGCCCUUUGGCAUUCCGAGGGGCAUGCCCGUUCGAGCGUCAUUAACACCCUCAAGCCUGGCUUGGUCUUGGGCGCCGGGACCAUCCCGCGCCUCCAUGUGAAAUUCGGCUGGCGGUCCGAAUCCUCCGCGUCGUGAUGCAUUUAUGCUAGUCCGCGUGAGAAGGACGGCCGCGCGCGCCGCUAAACGAUUCCAUCUAAACGUUGACCUCGGAUCGGGUAGGGAUACCCGCUGA
rnacentral:misc_RNA from 1 species